rnacentral:rRNA from 1 species
UGUUGCAUGGCUGUCGUCAGCUCGUGUCGUGAGAUGUUCGGUUAAGUCCGCUAACGAGCGCAACCCUCGCCGUAUGUUACAAGUGCCAUACGGGACUGCCGGUAAAAAGCCGGAGGAAGGUGAGGAUGAUGUCAAGUCAGCAUGACCUUUAUAUCCAGGGCUACACACACGCUACAAUGGUCUGUACAAUUGGUUGCCAAGCCGCGAGGCGGAGCCAAUCCGUAAAGCAGGCCUCAGUUCAGAUUGCAGUCUGCAACUCGACUGCAUGAAGCCGGAGUUGCUAGUAACCGCAGGUCAGCAAUACUGCGGUGAAUACGUUCCCGGGUCUU